AACGAACGCUGGCGGCAUGCCUAACACAUGCAAGUCGAACGAGACCUUCGGGUCUAGUGGCGCACGGGUGCGUAACGCGUGGGAACCUGCCCUUAGGUUCGGAAUAACUCCCCGAAAGGGGUGCUAAUACCGGAUAAUGUCUUCGGACCAAAGAUUUAUCGCCUUUGGAUGGGCCCGCGUUGGAUUAGCUAGUUGGUAGGGUAAAAGCCUACCAAGGCGACGAUCCAUAGCUGGUCGGAGAGGAUGAUCAGCCACACUGGGACUGAGACACGACCCAGACUCGUACGGGAGGCGGCAGUGGGGAAUAUUGGACAAUGGGCGAAAGCCUGAUCCAGCAAUGCCGCGUGAGUGAUGAAGGCCGUAGGGUUGUAAAGCUCUUUUAACCGGGAUGAUAAUGACAGUACCGGGAGAAUAAGCUCCGGCUAACUACGUG
rnacentral:rRNA from 1 species